GACGAACCGUGCGAACGUUAUUCGGAAUCACUGGGCUUAAAGCGCGUGUAGGCGGGUCGGAACGUCGGUCGCUGAAAUCCCCCGGCUUAACCGGGGAACGGGCGCCGAAACGGCCGGCCUGGAGGGACGUAGGGGGAACUGGAACUUCCGGUGGAGCGGUGAAAUGCGUUGAGAUCGGAAAGAACGCCCGUGGCGAAAGCUGGUUCCUGGACGUCUGCUGACGCUGAGACGCGAAAGCCAGGGGAGCGAACGGG
rnacentral:rRNA from 1 species